AACGAACGCUGGCGGCAUGCCUAACACAUGCAAGUCGAACGAGACCUUCGGGUCUAGUGGCGCACGGGUGCGUAACGCGUGGGAACCUGCCCUUAGGUUCGGAAUAACUCCCCGAAAUGGGUGCUAAUACCGGAUAAUGUCUUCGGACCAAAGAUUCAUCGCCUUUGGAUGGGCCCGCGUUCGAUUAGCUAGUUGGUAGGGUAAAAGCCUACCAAGGCGGCGAUCCAUAGCUGGGCUUAGAGGAUGAUCCGCCACACUGGGACUGAGACACGGCCCAGACUCCUACGGGAGGCAGCAGGGGGGAAUAUGGGACAAUGGGCGAAAGCCUGAUCCAGCAAGGCCGCGUGAGUGAUGAAGGCCUUAGGGUUGUAAAGCUCUUUUACCCGGGAUGAUAAGGACAGAACCGGGGGAAUAAGCUCCGGCUAACUCCGU
rnacentral:rRNA from 1 species